UGAGGAAUAUUGGUCAAUGGGCGAGAGCCUGAACCAGCCACGUCGCGUGAAGGAAGACUGACCUUACGGUUUGUAAACUUCUUUUGUAGAGGGGUAAUGGCAGAUACGUGUAUUUGCGUGAAAGUACUCUACGAAUAAGCAUCGGCUAACUACGUGCCAGCAGCCGCGGUAAUACGUAGGGCGCGAGCGUUGUCCGGAAUUAUUGGGCGUAAAGGGCUUGUAGGCGGUUGGCCGCGUCUGCCGUGAAAUCCUCUGGCUUAACUGGGGGAGUGCGGUGGGUACGGGUUGACUUGAGUGCGGUAGGGGAGACUGGAAUUCCUGGUGUAGCGGUGGAAUGCGCAGAUAUCAGGAGGAACACCGGUGGCGAAGGCGGGUCUCUGGGCCGUUACUGACGCUGAGGAGCGAAAGCGUGGGGAGCGAACAGG
rnacentral:rRNA from 1 species